rnacentral:lncRNA from 1 species
CCGGAGUUCAGAUUGCAUCGUCUGCCUGAAGCCUCGGCGCCUGUGCUGACUCCCGACCCUCCCCACCUCCUUGCCUCUGCAGCCCGACCUCUGGUGCUCCACUCAAGAAACCUGAGUUGACUGACCAAUUGAUUGCAGAGCCGCAGAAGGAAAAUGGUGACAAGAGGGGAAGUGGUUGACACGGCAGAAUUGCAGUCAAGUUUUUACAUAGGGGAGAUCUUGUCAAGAUGGCAGUGUGAGCAGACGUUGAACUUGCCUCCUGCCAUGAACACAACCAAAUUACAACAAUUUUUGAAAAAAUUACCACGGAUUGAAAACUGAAAACUGGAUAAAAAGAACCCUCACAACAAGGGACAGUCCUGAUGAAGUCAGAAGAGGCAGCAAUUCCUGCUGGAGAGGAAAAAAGCCACCUUUGGGGGCAGUGGAGCUUCUCAGCGGGCCAGGCGAGAGCCGCCCUAAGGUAUGCAGCCCUCCCUGGAGGAGUGAGGUCUGGAGCGAGGCGAUACUGCUAUAAGCAUCCUUCAGACUCGGCCCACCUGAGAUGGGUGUCUCACUGGCUUUGCUGGCUAUUAACUGCAGCGAGGAUACCCCCAGAAAAGCUGUUGGCCGAAGCCGUAAAGAUCCGGGUCUUAAAGGGCCCACGCACAAACUCACUCACUGCAGCAACCUAAAAUCACCAGACAGAAGGCUGACAGUCUUUUGGUGAAAUGAGACUCACCUGGUGGGCUCUGGGGGCAUCUUGGUGAGAGGAGGGACCUCUCCGGAGACUGAGACAUUGUUGGGGCCCGUUGUUCUGAGCUGAUCGAGGCGUGCUGAUGUAGAUUAGAUCCCUGUGGGUGCCAUUGAGGUUCAUCCCUUGGCCUGUUAGCCCAGGGUUCUGCCAUGUCCACUAGAGCACAGACUUAAUCCAGUUCAGCCAGGGCAGGCAACCCGCCCAAGGGACUGGCCCCACCUAACAGAAAGCCCUCAGGCUCCUUUUCAGCCUGCAUUGACUGGGUGCCUUGAUCCUCUACAGGCAGGCAAGGGUGUCUGCCUCUGUGGGGCAGGGCCUGUGCGAGGACCAGGUGAACUGCGGGGGGCAUUGGUGGAGAGGUGGGGACCCCUGCAGUGCGGCAUCGGGGUACACUUCAGAG